rnacentral:rRNA from 1 species
UACGUAGGGGGCAAGCGUUGUCCGGAUUUACUGGGCGUAAAGAGCGCGUAGGCGGAAGGUUAAGCGUGGCUUGAAAGCCCCCGGCUCAACCGGGGAGGGCGGCUGCGAACUGGCUUUCUUGAGGUCGAUAGAGGAGAGCGGAAUUCCUGGUGUAGCGGUGAAAUGCGUAGAUAUCAGGAGGAACACCCGUGGCGAAGGCGGCUCUCUGGGUCGGACCUGACGCUGAGGCGCGAAAGCGUGGGGAGCGAACGGG